GCGGUUGAGCGCAGGGACCCCUCAUGUGUUAGUAUAAAAUUGCCCAUCCCAUUAUGGGCGAAAAUAACACAAUUAAGGAUAUACUUGUCCAUAAUAUACUACUGUACAUGGUAUGUCAAAAUUGCUCAACAAUAUUUGACUUUAGUCACGUAUUAAUUCGGUAAAAUAUAGAAAAUAAUUAGAAUGAUUUAUGUCAGUCCACAUAAUGUGAGAAAUAAAUCUA
rnacentral:lncRNA from 1 species